rnacentral:tRNA from 2 species
GUUUUAAUAAUUUAAUAAAAAUAUUGGUCUUGUAAACCAGAAAUAAGGAACAACCUUUUAAAACU